rnacentral:rRNA from 1 species
UAACUACGUGCCAGCAGCCGCGGUAAUACGUAGGUGGCGAGCGUUAUCCGGAAUGAUUGGGCGUAAAGGGUGCGUAGGUGGCAGAUCAAGUCUGGAGUAAAAGGUAUGGGCUCAACCCGUACUGGCUCUGGAAACUGAUCAGCUAGAGAACAGAAGAGGACGGCGGAACUCCAUGUGUAGCGGUAAAAUGCGUAGAUAUAUGGAAGAACACCGGUGGCGAAGGCGGCCGUCUGGUCUGGAUUCUGACACUGAAGCACGAAAGCGUGGGGAGCAAAUAGGAUUAGAUACCCUAGUAGUCCACGCCGUAAACGAUGAGAACUAGGUGUUGGGGGAAUAACUCAGUGCCGCAGUUAACGCAGUAAGUUCUCCGCCUGGGGAGUAUGCACGCAAGUGUGAAACUCAAAGGAAUUGACGGGGGCCCGCACAAGCGGUGGAGUAUGUGGUUUAAUUCGAAGCAACGCGAAGAACCUUACCAGGCCUUGACAUCCCUUGCAGAGGUAUAGAGAUAUAUCCGAGGUUAUCAAGGAGACAGGUGGUGCAUGGUUGUCGUCAGCUCGUGUCGUGAGAUGUUGGGUUAAGUCCCGCAACGAGCGCAACCCUUGUGAUAUGUUACUAACAUUGAGUUGAGGACUCAUAUCAGACUGCCGGUGACAAACCGGAGGAAGGUGGGGAUGACGUCAAAUCAUCAUGCCCCUUAUGGCCUGGGCUACACACGUACUACAAUGGCGUCUACAAAGAGCGGCAAGCCUGUGAAGGCAAGCGAAUCUCAUAAAGGGCGUCUCAGUUCGGAUUGAAGUCUGCAACCCGACUUCAUGAAGCUGGAAUCGCUAGUAAUCGCGAAUCAGCAUGUCGCGGUGAAUACGUUCUCGGGCCUUGUACACACCGCCCGUCAAACCAUGGGAGUUGGUAAUGCCCGAAGCCGGUGGCAUAACCCUUCGGGGAGUGAGCCGUCGAAGGCAGGACCGAUGACUGGGGUUAAGUCGUAACAAGGUAUCCCUACGGGAACGUGGGGAUG